GGCAGCACAGUCCUAUUUGUCCAUCCUGAGCCUUGUCUCCUUGGCCUCCUGCCCUGCCUCUCAGGAAGGUGAUGGAGUCUUUGGCUCCACCCCUAGGGGCUCCCAUCAGUAUGCGUAAAAUGUGAGAGAUGGCUAAUAAUCUCCUAUGCUAGCUUUUAGAAAAGUAGAAAUUUGUGAAUGCUAGAGAGCUUCAAGAUGGACUUGCAGAAAAGUAGGAAGGUGAAACUCCAAAACUAGUAUAUCUGGGUACCAGCACAUGGAGAGACCAGGAAAGUUCUGACCUGCUAUCAGAAUGAUCCAGAAUGUGUUUUUUUAUAUAUACAAUACAUAAAAUACACAUGUGUA